ACCUGGUUGAUCCUGCCAGUAGUCAUAUGCUUGUCUUAAAGAUUAAGCCAUGCAUGUCUAAGUAUAAGCACUUGUACUGUGAAACUGCGAAUGGCUCAUUAUAUCAGUUAUAAUUUAUUUGAUGGUCAUUUACUUGGAUAACCGUGGUAAAUCUAGAGCUAAUACAUGCAUAAAAUCCUGACUGGGAACGGAAAGGAUGUAUUUAUUAGAUACAAAAACCAAUGCACUAAGUUCUCUCGGGGGCUUGGUGGAAAACAUGGUGAUUCAUGGUAACUUUACGAAUCGUAUGGUCUUGUACCGACGAUAGUUCAUUCAAAUUUCUGCCCUAUCAACUUUCGAUGGUAGUAUAGAGGACUACCAUGGUGGUAACGGGUAACGGAGAAUCAGGGUUUGAUUCCGGAGAAGGAGCCUGAGAAACGGCUACUACUUCCAAGGAAGGCAGCAGGCGCGCAAAUUACCCAAUCCCGACACGGGGAGGUAGUGACAAAAAAUAACAAUACCGGUCUUAUAUAAGUCUGGUAAUUGGAAUGAGUACAAUCUAAACCCCUUAACGAGUAUCAAUUGGAGGGCAAGUCUGGUGCCAGCAGCCGCGGUAAUUCCAGCUCCAAUAGCAUAUAUUAAAGUUGUUGCAGUUAAAAAGCUCGUAGUUGGAUUUUAGAGUUUAUUCAAUAGAGUCCGCUUGAAAAGAGUGUGUAUUUUAUUGGUAGCUCUCCUUACUAGAUAUUCACGAUCAUUCUUAACUGAGUGGUUGGUCUAUUCGAAAGAGUAGGUGCUUGGUGGGUCUGGGGGUUAGGAUGUGGUUUUUUUACGGGGCAACCUGUGGAGAAAUCUGCUUAGUUCACUUCCAUUAAGUAGGAUUCUAGUUCAUUUACUUUGAGUAAAUUAGAGUGUUCAAAGCAAACGUACAAAUUUUGUAAUGAAUACUAUUAGCAUGGGAUAAUGGAACAGGACGUUGGUUCUAUUUUAUUGGUUUCUAGAACUAAUGUAAUGAUUAAAAGGGAUAGUUGGGGGCAUUAGUAUUUAAUUGUCAGAGGUGAAAUUCUUGGAUUUAUGAAAGACUAACUUCUGCGAAAGCAUUUGUCAAGGAUGUUUUCAUUAAUCAAGAACGAAAGUUAGGGGAUCGAAGACGAUCAGAUACCGUCGUAGUCUUAACCAUAAACUAUGCCGACCAGGGAUUGGAAGACGUUAAUUUAAAAAAUAGGACUCCUCCAGCACCUUACGAGAAAUCACAAGUUUUUGGGUUCUGGGGGGAGUAUGGUCGCAAGGCUGAAACUUAAAGGAAUUGACGGAAGGGCACCACCAGGAGUGGAGCCUGCGGCUUAAUUUGACUCAACACGGGAAAACUUACCAGGUCCAGACACAGUUAGGAUUGACAGAUUGAGAGCUCUUUCUUGAUUCUGUGGGUGGUGGUGCAUGGCCGUUCUUAGUUGGUGGAGUGAUUUGUCUGGUUAAUUCCGAUAACGAACGAGACCUCAGCCUGCUAAUUAGUUAUAUAAAUUAAUACACUUAUGAGGGUUUGCUAUAAAGCUUUCUUCGCAAGGAGGGGAUUUGUAGUGAAAACUUGUUUUAAUUUAUAGAAACUUCUUAGAGGGACACUUGGUGUCUAACCAAGGGAAGUUUGAGGCAAUAACAGGUCUGUGAUGCCCUUUAGAUGUUCUGGGCUGCACGCGCGCUACACUGAUAUAAUCAACAAGUAUCAAAAACCUUUGCAGAAAUGUAUGGGUAAACUUUUGAAAUUAUAUCGUGCUGGGGAUCGAUAAUUGUAAUUAUUUAUCGUCAACGAGGAAUUCCUAGUAAGCGCAAGUCAUCAGCUUGCGUUGAUUACGUCCCUGCCCUUUGUACACACCGCCCGUCGCUCCUACCGAUGAAUGGUCCGGUGAAAUCUUAAGAUUGAAAGCAUAUACUUAUUGAUUUCGGUUAAUAAGUUUGUUUUUAAGAAUUUGAGUAAGCCUUGCCAUUUAGAGGAAGGAGAAGUCGUAACAAGGUAUCCGUAGGUGAACCGCAGACGGAUCA
rnacentral:rRNA from 1 species